CAGAGCAUCCUACGGGAGGCAGCAGUGGGGAAUAUUGCACAAUGGGCGCAAGCCUGAUGCAGCCAUGCCGCGUGUAUGAAGAAGGCCUUCGGGUUGUAAAGUACUUUCAGCAGUGAGGAAGUGGGUAUGUUAAUAGCAUAUUCAUUUGACGUUAGCUGCAGAAGAAGCACCGGCUAACUCCGUGCCAGCAGCCGCGGUAAUACGGAGGGUGCGAGCGUUAAUCGGAAUUACUGGGCGUAAAGCGCAUGCAGGUGGUUUGUUAAGUCAGAUGUGAAAGCCCGGGGCUCAACCUCGGAAUUGCAUUUGAAACUGGCAAACUAGAGUACUGUAGAGGGGGUAGAAUUUCAGGUGUAGCGGUGAAAUGCGUAGAGAUCUGAAGGAAUACCGGUGGCGAAGGCGGCCCCCUGGACAGAUACUGACACUCAGAUGCGAAAGCGUGGGGAGCAAACAGGAUUAGAUACCCUGGUAG
rnacentral:rRNA from 1 species